rnacentral:sRNA from 1 species
UUUUUGGAGUCAAAUAUGACUAGAUGUCAUGUGGAUGAUUGAGUAUAAGAACUAAAACCGCAACUGGUUCCCAAGGGCUAAAGUAGUGUUAGAAGAUACAAAGCCAAAGACUCAUACAGACUUCGGCUACACCAUCAAAGCUUUGAGAAGCAAUAAGAAGCUU